GACGAACGCUGGCGGCGUGCUUAACACAUGCAAGUCGAACGGAAAGGCCCCCACCUUGGUGGGGGUGCUCGAGUGGCGAACGGUGAGUACACGUGGUGAUUCUGCCUUGCACUUCGGAUAAGCUUGGGAAACUGGGUCUAAUACCGGAUAGGACCAUGGUUUAGUAUCUCAUGGUGGAAAAAUUAUUGUUUUGGUGCAGGAUGAGCUCGCGGCCUAUCAGCUUGUUGGUGGGGUAAUGGCCUACCAAGGCGUCGACGGGUAGCCGGCCUGAGAGGGUGGACGGCCACAUUGGGACUGAGAUACGGCCCAGACUCCUACGGGAGGCAGCAGUGGGGAAUAUUGCACAAUGGGCGCAAGCCUGAUGCAGCGACGCCGCGUGGGGGAUGACGGCCUUCGGGUUGUAAACUCCUUUCGUUAGGGACGAAGCCACGCCUUUUUUGGGUGUGGUGACGGUACCUUUGUUAAGAAGC
rnacentral:rRNA from 1 species